GAGUGAACCGGGAAGAGCUCAAAUUUGAAAUCUGGCGUGCUCAGUGCGUCCGAGUUGUAAUCUAUAGAGUCGUUUUCCGUGCCGGACUGUGUCCAAGUCCCUUGGAACAGGGUAUCAAAGAGGGUGAUAAUCCCGUACUUGACACAAUGACCGGUGCUCUGUGAUACGUCUUCUACGAGUCGAGUUGUUUGGGAAUGCAGCUCAAAAUGGGUGGUGAGUUCCAUCUAAAGCUAAAUAUUGGCGAGAGACCGAUAGCGAACAAGUACCGUGAGGGAAAGAUGAAAAGCACUUUGGAAAGAGAGUUAAACAGUACGUGAAAUUGUUAAAAGGGAAACGAUUGAAGUCAGUCGUGACUGAGAGGCUCAGCCGGUUCUGCCGGUGUAUUCCCCUCAGUCGGGUCAACAUCAGUUUUGUUCGGUGGAUAAGGGCAGUUGGAAGGUGGCACCCUCGGGUGUGUUAUAGCCAGCUGUCGCAUACAUCGGAUGAGACUGAGGAAUGCAGCUCGCCUUUAUGGCCGGGGUUCGCCCACGUUCGAGCUUAGGAUGUUGACAUAAUGGCUUUAAACGACCCGUCUUGAAA
rnacentral:rRNA from 1 species